GUGUUGUAAGUGUUUAAGGGCGCAUGGUGGAUGCCUUGGCACUGGGAGCCGAUGAAGGACGUUGGAGGCUGCGAUAUGCCUCGGGGAGCUGCCAACCGAGCGUUGAUCCGAGGAUGUCCGAAUGGGGAAACCCGGCACGAGUGAUGUCGUGUCACCCUGCACUGAAUACAUAGGUGUAGGGAGGGAACGCGGGGAAGUGAAACAUCUCAGUACCCGUAGGAAGAGAAAACAAAAUGUGAUUCCGUGAGUAGUGGCGAGCGAAAGCGGAGGAUGGCUAAACCGUAUGCAUGUGAUACCGGGUAGGGGUUGUGUGUGCGGGGUUGUGGGACCUGUUUUUCCAGCUCUACCUGGCUGGAGGGUAGUGAGAAAAUGUUGUGGUUAGCGGAAGUGGUUUGGGAUGACCUGCCGUAGACGGUGAGAGCCCGGUACGUGAAAACCUGACAUCUACCUUAAUGGUGUUCCCGAGUAGCAGCGGGCCCGUGAAAUCUGCUGUGAAUCUGCCGGGACCACCCGGUAAGCCUGAAUACUUCCCAGUGACCGAUAGCGGAUUAGUACCGUGAGGGAAUGGUGAAAAGUACCCCGGGAGGGGAGUGAAAUAGUACCUGAAACCGUGCGCUUACAAUCCGUCAGAGCCCUCCUUCGUGGUGGGGUGAUGGCGUGCCUUUUGAAGAAUGAGCCUGCGAGUCAGGGACAUGUCGCGAGGUUAACCCGGGUGGGGUAGCCGCAGCGAAAGCGAGUCUGAAUAGGGCGUAUCCACACAGGAGUGUGUGGUGUAGUGGUGUGUUCUGGACCCGAAGCGGAGUGAUCUACCCAUGGCCAGGGUGAAGCGCGGGUAAGACCGCGUGGAGGCCCGAACCCACUUAGGUUGAAGACUGAGGGGAUGAGCUGUGGGUAGGGGUGAAAGGCCAAUCAAACUCCGUGAUAGCUGGUUCUCCCCGAAAUGCAUUUAGGUGCAGCGUCACAUGUUUCUUGUUGGAGGUAGAGCUACUGGAUGGCCGAUGGGCCCCACAGGGUUACUGACGUCAGCCAAACUCCGAAUGCCGACAAGUCCAAGAGUGUGGCAGUGAGACGGCGGGGGAUAAGCUCCGUGCGUCGAGAGGGAAACAGCCCAGAUCGCCGGCUAAGGCCCCUAAGCGUGUGCUAAGUGGAAAAGGAUGUGCAGUCGCGAAGACAACCAGGAGGUUGGCUUAGAAGCAGCCACCCUUGAAAGAGUGCGUAAUAGCUCACUGGUCAAGUGAUUGUGCGCCGAUAAUGUAGCGGGGCUCAAGCACACCGCCGAAGCCGCGGCAGCCAUUUAUGGCUGGGUAGGGGAGCGUCCUGCAUCCGGUGAAGCAGCAGAGUGAUCUAGCUGUGGAGGGUGUGGGAGUGAGAAUGCAGGCAUGAGUAGCGAAUAGGCAAGUGAGAACCUUGCCCGCCGAAAGACCAAGGGUUCCUGGGCCAGGCCAGUCCUCCCAGGGUGAGUCGGGACCUAAGGCGAGGCCGACAGGCGUAGUCGAUGGACAACGGGUUGAUAUUCCCGUACCCGUGUAUGUGCGUCCCUGAUGAAUCCAUUGUGCUAACCAUCCAAAACCACCGUGACCAAUCCCUUCGGGGUGCGGCGUUGGUGGGGCUGCGUGGGACCCCGGUGGGUAGUAGUCAAGCGAUGGGGUGACGCAGGAAGGUAGCCGUACCAGUCAGUGGUUGUACUGGGGUAAGCCGGUAGGGCGAAACGUAGGCAAAUCCGCGUUUCAUACAGCCUGAGAGGUGAUGCAUAGCCGUUUGAGGCGAAUUCGGUGAUCCUAUGCUGCCAAGAAAAGCCUCUAGCGAGGACAUACACGGCCCGUACCCCAAACCAACACAGGUGGUCAGGUAGAGAAUACUAAGGCGUACGAGUGAACUAUGGUUAAGGAACUCGGCAAAAUGCCCCCGUAACUUCGGGAGAAGGGGGACCCCCAUAUCGUCAAGGCUCUUGCGGCCGGCAGCGGGAGGGGGUGGCACAAACCAGUGAGAAGCGACUGUUUACUAAAAACACAGGUCCGUGCGAAGUCGCAAGACGAUGUAUACGGACUGACGCCUGCCCGGUGCUGGAAGGUUAAGAGGACCUGUUAACCCUUCGGGGUGAAGCAGAGAAUUUAAGCCCCAGUAAACGGCGGUGGUAACUAUAACCAUCCUAAGGUAGCGAAAUUCCUUGUCGGGUAAGUUCCGACCUGCACGAAUGGCGUAACGACUUCUCAACUGUCUCAACCAUAGACUCGGCGAAAUUGCACUACGAGUAAAGAUGCUCGUUACGCGCGGCAGGACGAA
rnacentral:rRNA from 1 species